GUAGUAAAUAUCUGGAGUCUGUCGUUCCCUCCUUAAUCCUUAUCCCCUCCCCACGUUUCCCUCUUCACUUCCCGGUUCCCGCCUGCAUACGGUACAGUGGUACACCCACCGCCGGUGAGCCAUGCCUCCCCCGGCGGGGCUGCCCCCCUGGCCGACGCCGUCCACCACGCGCCUCGCGACCCCGACCCCGACGCGGCCUCCUCCUCGCACCACCCACGUUCGGCCGCCGCCUCCACCUUACACUCGCGUCCGCCUUCCUCCGCCUCCGCCUGCUACGACGCCACUGCCGCCCCGCCUGGAGCCCGCUGCGCCAAAACCAGCGGCCGUCGCCACACUCCUGCCUCCCUCCACUGCCUCUGCAGCGUCUUCUUCGUCCACCUGCCUCGACUGCGUCCAUUUUGGCAAGUGCUCAGGGUGCACGCACGAGGUGGACCUCGACAAGCCGCCGGUGCUGCAGGAGGUGGCGAAUUUCUUCAAGGGACACGGGGUCGGAGAUUUCACCUUCAGCAGGGGCAGGCUGUCCCAAUGGCGGUGCCGAGCAAAGCUAGCUGUUCGUGGAACACCAGAGAACCCGUUGAUUGGUUUAUACCAGGAAGGGACGCAUGCUGUUAUAGAUAUUCCAGAGUGCAGAGCUCAUCACCCAAGCAUUAAUGCUGCUGUUAAGUUGUUAAGGCAAGGUAUAACUGAGCUAAGUAUUCAGCCAUUUGAUGAAGAUGCUGGAGCUGGUGAACUCAGAUAUGUUCAGAUGGCCGUGACAACAUAUAACACAUCUAUUCCGGUUGAUAAAAGAUACGAGCAAGGGAAAGUUCAAGUUUCAUUGGUUUGGAAUUCAAGAGACGAGCGCUCCCAGAACGCAGAGAAGCUGACUUCAAUAAUAGAAUACUUGUGGACAAAUGGUGGGCCAAAAAGUAGUGUCCAUCUCAUUCAUUCUAUAUGGGCCAAUUUUCAGACAUCAACCAGCAACAUAAUUUUUGGGCAUAAAUGGAGACAUCUUAAGGGGGAGAGGGACAUGUGGGAGCGUUAUGGGGGAGUUGAUAUUUCUCUGGAUCCUUGUAGCUUUGGCCAGGCUAAUACUCUGUCAUUUAACUCUUUGUUGCAUAAGCUGAACAAGUAUGUACCACGUAGUUCAACAGUUGUUGAUUUGUACUCUGGGGCUGGUGUUAUUGGCCUAUCAGUUGCUGCUUCAAGGAAAUGUAGGUCUGUGAAAUGUAUCGAGAUUAACAAACAGUCAAAGAUGUCUUUUGAGACAUCAGCAAGCCGACUUCCAGCGAACCUGGGUUGCACCAUUACUUGGCACAAUACCGAUGCUUCAGUUGAACCUUCGCACUGGCUUGAAGGGUCAAGUGUUGUUAUUGUGGAUCCACCAAGGAAAGGAUUGCACCCAUCUGUUAUCAGCGCUUUACAGAAAGUUGCUUUGUCUGAGCGCAAGGCAUACAAGGCUAAAAGUUCGCUUGCAAAGGUUAAGGAUGAGAAGAGACCAUGGAUCUUACGGGCAAGGGAGGCUGCAGUUCAUGUUGAUAAUACAACAACUGAAGAGGGCAAUGAAACGUGGCCUGAAACUCUCAUAUACAUUAGCUGUGGAUGGGAAAGUUUUAAGAGGGACUGCAAAAGCUUGAUAUCCAGCAAGGCCUGGCAGUUGGAAAAUGCUCAUGCUUUUAACUUCUUCCCUGGCACAGAUAGAGUUUCAUGCUGCCGGUGGACGAAGAGGUGCUAAUGUUGAGGUCUUAUUCCCCGGGUCCAAUGUGGUUGGUAGUGGCAGUGCAACUGCAAGUGAUUCUGUUCCUCCCGUGACCUCAAAUGUUGAUAGCACAGGCCCUGCUUCGGCAUUAUCAGCUGCUGCAGACUCAAAAAGCCUUGCUGAAAAGGCUAUUGCAGCACUCCCUCCUGAGCUUAGUGCACAAGCAACUGACCCAAAAAGAAAGGCAAGGUCACAGGACCCAGGAUGGAAGUUUGGGUGGUGGCCAGACACAACGAAGAAGGAUUUUGUUCAGUGUAUUUUCUGUUCGAAGAUUGUUCCUUCCGGAAUCAAAAGGUUCAAGCAGCAUCUUGCCGGUGGGUUUGGUGACACCAUGAAGUGUGCUAGAGUACCAGAACUGGUUUCAAAGGAAAUGCACAUGUAUCUAAAAAGGAACAUGAGACUUGUGAUUACUGCUAAUACUGAAGAAGGUGAAGAGGGAGAAGAGCGAGAUGAUGAAGGUCCUGAACCAAGUUCUGGGACAAAAAACAAGCAAACAAAAAAGAAAAUUGCCCAAGCUGCCAUGUCCUCAUUUCUUGUAUCUGCUCCUCCAAAACCAAGUACCCAGAAGGCAAGCAAAUCAGUGAGUGCCAUGCUCUGCAAGACUCCAGAAGAAGUAGUUGCAGAGAGGCAUAAAAACAAAACUUCUCAGUCCACCCUUGAGCACUGCACAAAGAAAGGGACACAAGCACAGCAAAUUGUUGACGACCAUGUAGCUGAUUUUCUGUAUGAGAACAAGAUUCCAUUGAAUGUCGUAAACUCAAGAAGUUGGGAGAUUAUGUUGGAGUCUAUUGGUCAGUACGGUCCUGGAUAUCAUGGCCCAUCGUAUCAUGAGGCUAGAGUACCUUGGCUUGAAAGGGCAGUGAAGAGAACAUCGACAUUGAGAGAUAAGCACGAAGAGGCUUGGAAGGAAUAUGGUUGCUCAAUUAUGUCAGAUGGGUGGACCGACACAAGACAACGUCAUUUGAUCAACUUCCUUGCCAACAGUCCAGCAGGGACAUACUUCCUAGGUUCUGUUGAUGCAUCAAGUGAGGUAGCAAAUGCCAAUAUGUUGGCAGAUCUGUUGGAGAAGCAAAUAAUGAAGCAUUGAAAUUCUGGCUAUCUUCAAACGGGAAUCAGAAGCUGGUCAAAAGAAAAAGAAGAAAGCAAAAAAGAAGGCUAAGUAGAU